rnacentral:rRNA from 1 species
CGGUGGGGCGGUUGUCCCACCUGACCCCAUGCCGAACUCAGAAGUGAAACGCCGUAGCGCCGAUGGUAGUGUGGGGUCUCCCCAUGCGAGAGUAGGACACUGC